AGCGAACGCUGGCGGCAGGCCUAACACAUGCAAGUCGAACGAACCCUUCGGGGUUAGUGGCGGACGGGUGAGUAACACGUGGGAACGUGCCUUUAGGUUCGGAAUAACUCAGGGAAACUUGUGCUAAUACCGAAUGUGCCCUUCGGGGGAAAGAUUUAUCGCCUUUAGAGCGGCCCGCGUCUGAUUAGCUAGUUGGUGAGGUAAAGGCUCACCAAGGCUACGAUCAGUAGCUGGUCUGAGAGGAUGACCAGCCACAUUGGGACUGAGACACGGCCCAAACUCCUACGGGAGGCAGCAGUGGGGAAUCUUGCGCAAUGGGCGAAAGCCUGACGCAGCCAUGCCGCGUGGAUGAUGAAGGUCUUAGGAUUGUAAAAUCCUUUCACCGGUGAAGAUAAUGACUGUAGCCGGAGAAGAAGCCCCGGCUAACUUCGUGCCAGCCGCCGCCGUAACAC
rnacentral:rRNA from 1 species